rnacentral:antisense_RNA from 1 species
AGUAGCCAAAAAUUUUGACAGGGCUAAGGGUGGGAUCGGUAAUCACUCGUACAUUGCCACCGCCACUCGCCCAGGGGUCAAAUAGUCCACCCCAAAACAUGGCUUUAGCUACCAAGAGCCAAGCACCAACCCCCAAAAGGAUUAGGUGAAUCCCGAUAAUGGUGGUCAUCUUGUCGGAGUCUUCCCA